GAUGAACGCUGGCGGCGUGCUUAACACAUGCCAGUCGAACGAAGCACUUUAUUUGAUUUCCUUCGGGACUGAUUAUUUUGUGACUGAGUGGCGGACGGGUGAGUAACGCGUGGGUAACCUGCCUUGUACAGGGGGAUAACAGUUGGAAACGGCUGCUAAUACCGCAUAAGCGCACAGCAUCGCAUGAUGCAGUGGGAAAAACUCCGGUGGUAUAAGAUGGACCCGCGUUGGAUUAGCUAGUUGGUGAGGUAACGGCCCACCAAGGCGACGAUCCAUAGCCGACCUGAGAGGGUGACCGGCCACAUUGGGACUGAGACACGGCCCAAACUCCUACGGGAGGCAGCAGUGGGGAAUAUUGCACAAUGGGCGAAAGCCUGAUGCAGCGACGCCGCGUGAGCGAAGAAGUAUUUCGGUAUGUAAAGCUCUAUCAGCAGGGAAGAUAAUGACGGUACCUGACUAAGAAGCACCGGCUAAAUACGUG
rnacentral:rRNA from 1 species